rnacentral:rRNA from 1 species
AGAAUCAACGCUGGCGGCGUGCCUAACACAUGCAAGUCGAACGCGAAAGUCCCGAAAGGGAUAAGUAGAGUGGCAAACGGGUGAGUAACACGUGGGUGACCUGCCUUCGAGCGGGGGAUAACGUCCCGAAAGGGACGCUAAUACCGCAUAACAUCCUGCCUUUUAAGAGGUGGAGAUCAAAGCCGGGGACCGCAAGGCCUGGCACUUGAAGAGGGGCCCGCGUCUGAUUAGCUAGUUGGUGGGGUAAUGGCCUACCAAGGCAACGAUCAGUA